AGUUUGCACGGGAAACAACGACACUGGGUGGAUCUGGAGGCAGGAGAUUGAUUCUAGUCGGAUCCGGAGUCCGACGGUGCGGCGACGUCGGCGAGGGAGAAGAACUAGAGAAAAAAUGAGAGACAUAAAAGAGAUGAGGGGCUGACAUGUGGGACCCUUGGCCACAUCAUCGUAUUGUCCAUGUAGAUAUGCCAUGUGGAUCCAACAAG
rnacentral:lncRNA from 1 species